AAACUGGGCCCAUACACGGGGCGGGGGGGCAAGGGAGAGGGAAGAAAAAGGCAGACCACUCCACAUUGGUAGGUGGCAGGUUUAAUAAGCAAGAGAACUUAGUUACGAGGCACGUGCUUGUCUUCGGCAGCUGCAAGAAGAGCAGAUCUUCUCACCUGCCCACCAGAAAGACCAAAAUACCCAUCUGGAGAAGGAUGGCCUCUUCUUCAAGUGAUCACCACCACACUACAGUAGGUGCAGUCAGAUACGAUUCCUCCAUCUAUCAAACAAGGUCAAGUCUAACAAUCAAAGAGUAUUAGCAUAAAGGUGACAAUUGAGAAGACCUGAAGACAAGGAAUGAGCCUUUAUUAGGCUGUCUGGCAAAAGAUCAUUCCAGGAAGAGGGAGCAGUACGAAAAUCUUCAAAGUUAAAGGAUGGUUAACGUGCUCCACCAAGAGAAAGAAAGUCCGUGAAGCUAGAGCUGAGAGAGCUAGGUGAAGAGUAUGAGCUCAUCAUGUCAAAAGGUUAAAGGGAUAUAGAAUCGUGUGGUGUGAAAUCAUGUAGAGGCGUGUAGGUUUCUGUGGUGACUUUAAGCCCUUCAACUCUGAGUUAAAAUCCAUAGAAAGAUUUUGC
rnacentral:lncRNA from 1 species